rnacentral:rRNA from 1 species
UGGGACAAGCCCUGGAAACGGGGUCUAAUACCGGAUACUGACCCGCCUGGGCAUCCAGGCGGUUCGAAAGCUCCGGCGGUGCAGGAUGAGCCCGCGGCCUAUCAGCUUGUUGGUGAGGUAACGGCUCACCAAGGCGACGACGGGUAGCCGGCCUGAGAGGGCGACCGGCCACACUGGGACUGAGACACGGCCCAGACUCCUACGGGAGGCAGCAGUGGGGAAUAUUGCACAAUGGGCGAAAGCCUGAUGCAGCGACGCCGCGUGAGGGAUGACGGCCUUCGGGUUGUAAACCUCUUUCAGCAGGGAAGAAGCGAAAGUGACGGUACCUGCAGAAGAAGCGCCGGCUAACUACGUGCCAGCAGCCGCGGUAAUACGUAGGGCGCGAGCGUUGUCCGGAAUUAUUGGGCGUAAAGAGCUCGUAGGCGGCUUGUCGCGUCGGUUGUGAAAGCCCGGGGCUUAACCCCGGGUCUGCAGUCGAUACGGGCAGGCUAGAGUUUGGUAGGGGAGAUCGGAAUUCCUGGUGUAGCGGUGAAAUGCGCAGAUAUCAGGAGGAACACCGGUGGCGAAGGCGGAUCUCUGGGCCGAUACUA